rnacentral:rRNA from 1 species
UACGAAGGGGGCGAGCGUUGUUCGGAUUUACUGGGCGUAAAGGGCGCGCAGGCGGUUCUGUUUGUCGAGUGUGAAAGCCCCGGGCUCAACCUGGGAACUGCGCUCGAAACGGCGGAACUAGAGUUCGGGAGAGGAGAGUGGAAUUCCCAGUGUAGAGGUGAAAUUCGUAGAUAUUGGGAAGAACACCGGUGGCGAAGGCGGUUCUCUGGGCCUUACCUGGCGGCUGAGGAGCGAAAGCGUGGGGAGCGAACAGG